GGUUGAAUGGUGUAACGGUAGCACAUAGGAUUUUGAACAUAAAAAGAUCUUCCUGCGACCUGGGUUCGACUCCCAGUUCGACCU